AGUGCCCAUCCCAGCUCUAAAGCUCCCGGUCAGACCUGCUGAGGACUCCGCUACAGCUGCAUCUGGGAUCAACAUCCCUUUAACGCCCAACCCUGCUUCUCUCACAGGUGUUGUCUGAGAGCGCUGCCCAAAUAGCACCCGCAAACCUCCAGCCCAGAGUCUGCGUCUCAGGGAACCCAACCUCAGCCGAUUAUGUCUUUUUAGAUUCUGGCCAAAUCCUGACAGCUCCAGAAGACAGCUGUGCUGAGCUGACUUCAAGUGAGUGACUGGUGGGACCAUCGUGUCAAACCCUGCAGCACAGGGUCUCAGUGAUGCCAAAAUGUGGCGGCCACCACACACAGUCAUGUGGUCACAGUGUAUGACCUUGGGAAAUCCAAGAGUACAAACUGCAGCGACGCCGAAGAACUUUUAGUUGUUCCUUUAUUAGGCGAAUAAGGUAACAGGUAAGGUAAUAAGACACUCAACACGUGUAGAGGCUGCGUUAAGCAUUUCAUCUUGUUGAAUCCACACCACAGCCUCAUGGAUCCAAGUUUUGACCUCGUUGUUCAGAUGGGGAAACUCAAGUCUAGAGAGGCAGACCUCAGAGAUACUGUGUGUUCAAUUCCAGAUCACAGCAAUAAG